AUAAUUCUUCCUACUUAUCAAAAACUUCAUAGCAGUCUCCAUAUCUCUUACAAAACACCCUCAUAGUAUUUGUUUAUUAACAUCCUACACCUGCUUAAUCUUGAAGUCAGGAAAAUCCUUAUACCUUCAAGCAUGGUAAGGUAUCCUAAUAGGCUAAUACCCAUUAUUGGGGCUAACCAAGUCAUGGAUGAUGAUGAUGAUGAUGAACAAACUUUAGGCUCUGUCAUGGAGAACUUGAAAAAUCUCAUCUCAUAAGGAAAGGAGCGUUGAUGAUGAUGAUUCAGGCCUUAAUCCUAAACGCAAGAAGACAAAAUUAUGCUAUAUGAAAAUGUAAACAGAUGAAGGAUCCACAUAUUGGCGAUGUGAAUUCUAUCAAAUUUUUAGGCUUGUUAAAGGAUACCGUUGAUCAAUGUUGAGCGCUCAAAGCAAAAAAAAGAGCAAAUGGAAUAAGAGAAGCUUUUAUCAUUUAGACAACUUGGGUUAUUGAUUAAAACAAUUGUGGAUUUUGAGAAUGGUUUAAA